rnacentral:rRNA from 1 species
ACUCCUACGGGAGGCAGCAGUGGGGAAUUUUGGACAAUGGGCGCAAGCCUGAUCCAGCAAUGCCGCGUGAGUGAUGAAGGCCCUAGGGUUGUAAAGCUCUUUCACCCAGGAAGAUAAUGACGGUAACCGGAGAAUAAGCCCCGGCUAACUCCGUGCCAGCAGCCGCGGUAAU